CAUGAAACUCUUCCAUUGUACUAUCACUAGUCGAAGUAGGAAGAGUUGCAGUUGCAAGAAGAAGGCCACUAUUUGUUGGAGAUGUCCUCAUCGAUGCCGGUGCUGAGCAUUCUCCUCUCGUCCCUCGCAACUCCUGUUUAUUUCCCCAACUUAAAUUACCUGAAAAUGAAUAAGGUUUCCUGUGGGAUUGGAGAUUUUCUCUCCUUCCUUUGAAGAACAUUAGUGGCCUAACCAUUCUGGCGUACCUCUUCAGUACCUGACUUGCGUCGAACCUCAGCUUUUUCUUGUGCUCACCCUUGUCCUCCUCCUUUUCUUUAACUUCACACCCUUUUCGCCAACCGAAUAAAGAGAAAGACUUGGGCUUGCUUCUUCCCUUCGUCUCACUAUAGUUUUUGCUUCGAUGGCGACUACAGUUAUUGUUGUUGUUGAUGUUGUUGCUACUGCUAAUGCUAUUUCCAUUGCUGGUGCUGCAGUUAUUGCUACUUUUGUUGGGUCUUUGAUCAUCUAAUAAUUCCUUGAUAGGGAGGGUGAAGCUGUCAAAGGAAUUUGUGGACGAGCGAGGAGAUACAGGAAGGUGUGAGAGGAGAUGGAGAGGGAGCAAGUGCCCAUGGAAGAAAAUGUC
rnacentral:lncRNA from 1 species